rnacentral:rRNA from 1 species
GUGACCUCAAAUCAGGUAGGACUACCCGCUGAACUUAAGCAUAUCAAUAAGCGGAGGAAAAGAAACUAACAAGGAUUCCCCUAGUAACUGCGAGUGAAGCGGGAAAAGCUCAAAUUUAAAAUCUGGCAGUCUCUGGCUGUCCGAGUUGUAAUCUAGAGAAGUGUUAUCCGCGCUGGACCGUGUACAAGUCUCCUGGAAUGGAGCGUCAUAGAGGGUGAGAAUCCCGUCUUUGACACGGACUGCCAGGGCUUUGUGAUGCGCUCUCAAAGAGUCGAGUUGUUUGGGAAUGCAGCUCAAAAUGGGUGGUAAAUUCCAUCUAAAGCUAAAUAUUGGCGAGAGACCGAUAGCGAACAAGUACCGUGAGGGAAAGAUGAAAAGAACUUUGGAAAGAGAGUUAAACAGUACGUGAAAUUGCUGAAAGGGAAACGCUUGAAGUCAGUCGCGUUGGUCAGGGAUCAACCUUGCUUUUGCUAGGUGUACUUUCUGGUUGACGGGUCAGCAUCAAUUUUGAUCAUUGGAAAAAGAUUAGGGGAAUGUGGCAUCCUUGGAUGUGUUAUAGCCCUUGGUUGUAUACAAUGGUUGGGAUUGAGGAGCUCAGCACGCCGCAAGGCCGGGUUUUUACCACGUACGUGCUUAGGAUGCUGGCAUAAUGGCUUUAAUCGACCCGUC